rnacentral:rRNA from 1 species
AUUGAACGCUGGCGGCAUGCUUUACACAUGCAAGUCGAACGGCAGCGCGGGCUUCGGCCUGGCGGCGAGUGGCGAACGGGUGAGUAAUGCAUCGGAACGUGCCCAGUAGUGGGGGAUAGCCCGGCGAAAGCCGGAUUAAUACCGCAUACGACCUGAGGGUGAAAGCGGGGGACCGAAAGGCCUCGCGCUAUUGGAGCGGCCGAUGGCGGAUUAGCUAGUUGGUGGGGUAAAGGCUUACCAAGGCGACGAUCCGUAGCUGGUCUGAGAGGACGACCAGCCACACUGGGACUGAGACACGGCCCAGACGCCUACGGGAGGCAGCAGUGGGGAAUUUUGGACAAUGGGGGCAACCCUGAUCCAGCCAUGCCGCGUGCGGGAAGAAGGCCUUCGGGUUGUAAACCGCUUUUGUUCGGGAAGAAAUCCUCUGGGCUAAUACCCCGGGGGGAUGACGGUACCGGAAGAAUAAGCACCGGCUAACUACGUG